UACGUAGGUGGCAAGCGUUGUCCGGAUUUAUUGGGUUUAAAGGGUGCGUAGGCGGCCCUGUAAGUCAGUGCUGAAAAUAUCCCCAGGCUUAACUGGGGAGGGUGGCAUUGAUACUGCGGGGCUAGAGUACAGAUGAGGUAGGCGGAAUUGACGGUGUAGCGGUGAAAUGCUUAGAUAUCGUCAAGAACACCUAUAGCGAAGGCAGCUUACUAGGCUGUAACUGACGCUGAGGCACGAAAAGUGUGGGGAGCAAACAGG
rnacentral:rRNA from 1 species